rnacentral:rRNA from 1 species
AGUGAACGCUGGCGGUAGGCCUAACACAUGCAAGUCGAACGGCAGCACAGUAAGAGCUUGCUCUUACGGGUGGCGAGUGGCGGACGGGUGAGGAAUACAUCGGAAUCUACUUUUUCGUGGGGGAUAACGUAGGGAAACUUACGCUAAUACCGCAUACGACCUACGGGUGAAAGCAGGGGAUCUUCGGACCUUGCGCGAUUGAAUGAGCCGAUGUCUGAUUAGCUAGUUGGCGGGUUAAAGGCCCACCAAGGCGACGAUCCGUAGCUGGUCUGAGAGGAUGAUCAGCCACACUGGAACUGAGACACGGUCCAGACUCCUACGGGAGGCAGCAGUGGGGAAUAUUGGACAAUGGGCGCAAGCCUGAUCCAGCCAUACCGCGUGAGUGAAGAAGGCCUUCGGGUUGUAAAGCCCUUUUGUUGGGAAAGAAAAGCAGCAGGUUAAUACCCCGCUGUUCUGACGGUACCCAAAGAAUAAGCACCGGCUAACUUCGUG